UACGAAGGGGGCUAGCGUUGUUCGGAUUUACUGGGCGUAAAGCGCACGUAGGCGGAUUGUUAAGUCAGGGGUGAAAUCCUGGAGCUCAACUCCAGAACUGCCUUUGAUACUGGCUAUCUUGAGUUCGGGAGAGGUGAGUGGAAUGCCGAGUGUAGAGGUGAAAUUCGUAGAUAUUCGGCGGAACACCAGUGGCGAAGGCGGCUCACUGGCCCGAUACUGACGCUGAGGCACGAAAGCGUGGGGAGCAAACAGG
rnacentral:rRNA from 1 species